UACAGAGGUCCCGAGCGUUGUUCGGAUUCACUGGGCGUAAAGGGUGCGUAGGUGGCUUGGAAAGUUUGAUGUGAAAGCUCAGGGCUUAACCCUGAAAUGGCAUUGAAUACUGUCGAGCUGGAGGUUUGGAGGGGGGACUGGAAUUCUUGGUGUAGCAGUGAAAUGCGUAGAUAUCAAGAGGAACACCAGUGGCGAAGGCGAGUCCCUGGACAACACCUGACACUGAGGCACGAAAGCUAGGGGAGCAAACAGG
rnacentral:rRNA from 1 species